rnacentral:rRNA from 1 species
AUUGAACGCUGGCGGAAUGCUUUACACAUGCAAGUCGAACGGCAGCACGGACUUCGGUCUGGUGGCGAGUGGCGAACGGGUGAGUAAUAUAUCGGAACGUAUCCAAUAAUGGGGGAUAACUAAUCGAAAGGUUGGCUAAUACCGCAUACGUCCUACGGGAGAAAGCUAGGGACCUUCGGGCCUGGCGUUAAUGGAGCGGCCGAUAUCGGAUUAGCUAGUUGGUGAGGUAAAGGCUCACCAAGGCGACGAUCCGUAGCUGGUCUGAGAGGACGACCAGCCACACUGGAACUGAGACACGGUCCAGACUCCCACGGGAGGCAGCAGUGGGGAAUUUUAGACAAUGGGCGAAAGCCUGAUCCAGCCAUUCCGCGUGAGUGAAGAAGGCCUUCGGGUUGUAAAGCUCUUUCGCAAGAGAAGAAAACUUACCCUCUAACAUAGGGUGAGGUUGACGGUAUCUUGAUAAGAAGCACCGGCUAACUACGUGCCAGCCGCCGCCGUAA